rnacentral:rRNA from 1 species
UACGUAGGAGACGAGCGUUGUCCGGAGUUACUGGGCGUAAAGGGCGCGUAGGCGGUUCGUACAGUCAGACGUGAAAUUCCUGGGCUCAACCUGGGGGCUGCGUUUGAUACGUGCGGGCUUGAGUUCGGAAGAGGGUCGUAGAAUUCCCAGUGUAGAGGUGAAAUUCGUAGAUAUUGGGAAGAACACCGGUGGCGAAGGCGGCGACCUGGUCCGAUACUGACGCUGAGGCGCGAAAGCGUGGGGAGCAAACAGG